rnacentral:tRNA from 1 species
GGGGAUAUAGCUUAGCUGGUAGAGCGCUUCCAUGGCAUGGAAGAGGUCGAGGGUUCGAGUCCCUCUAUCUCCA